rnacentral:rRNA from 1 species
GAUGAACGCUGGCGGCGUGCCUAAUACAUGCAAGUCGAGCGAACAGACGAGGAGCUUGCUCCUCUGACGUUAGCGGCGGACGGGUGAGUAACACGUGGAUAACCUACCUAUAAGACUGGGAUAACUUCUGGAAACCGGUGCUAAUACCGGAUAAUAUAUUUAACCGCAUGGUUCAAUAUUGAAAGACGGUUUUGCUGUCCCUUAUAGAUGGAUCCGCUCCGCAUUAGCUAGUUGUUAAGGUAACGGCUUACCAAGGCAACGAUGCGUAGCCGACCUGAGAGGGUGAUCGGCCACACUGGAACGGAGACACGGUCCAGACUCCUACGGGAGGCAGCAGUAGGGAAUCUUCCGCAAUGGGCGAAAGCCUGACGGAGCAACGCCGCGUGAGUGAUGAAGGUCUUCGGAUCGUAAAACUCUGUUAUUAGGGAAGAACAAAUGUGUAAUUAACUAUGCACGUCUUGACGGUACCUAAUCAGAAAGCCACGGCUAACUACGUG